rnacentral:rRNA from 1 species
GACAGAGGCCCCAAGCGUUAGGCGGAAUCACUGGGCUUAAAGCGUGUGUAGGCGGAUCGUUAAGUGUCUUGUGAAAUCCCACGGCUCACCCGUGGAACUGCGGGGCAUACUGGCGAUCUUGGGCCAACUAGGGGCAGCCGGAACAAGCGGUGGAGCGGUGAAAUGCGUAGAUAUCGCUUGGAACGCCAAAGGUGAAAACAGGCUGCUGGGGUUGUGCCGACGCUGAGACACGAAAGCCAGGGGAGCAAACGGG